CGCAGCCGCGGUAAUUCCAGCUCCAAUAGCGUAUAUUAAAGUUGUUGCAGUUAAAAAGCUCGUAGUUGAAUUUCGGGAUCGACGGGUCGGUCGCGCCUCUGGUGUGUACUGGCCCUGUCGGUUUCUCCCUUCUGACGAACCACGAUGUCAUUAAUUUGGUGUCGUGGGAAAUCAGGACUGUUACUUUGAAAAAAUUAGAGUGUUUAAAGCAGGCAUUCGCUUGAAUACAUUAGCAUGGAAUAAUGAAAUAGGACGUUUGAUCUUAUUUUGUUGGUUUCUAAGAUCGACGUAAUGAUUAAUAGGGAUAGUUGGGGGCAUUAGUAUUCAAUUGUCAGAGGUGAAAUUCUUGGAUUUAUUGAAGACUAACUACUGCGAAAGCAUUUGCCAAGGAUGUUUUCAU
rnacentral:rRNA from 1 species